UACGUAGGGCGCAAGCGUUAUCCGGAAUUAUUGGGCGUAAAGAGCUCGUAGGCGGUUUGUCGCGUCUGCCGUGAAAGUCCGGGGCUCAACUCCGGAUCUGCGGUGGGUACGGGCAGACUAGAGUGAUGUAGGGGAGACUGGAAUUCCUGGUGUAGCGGUGAAAUGCGCAGAUAUCAGGAGGAACACCGGUGGCGAGGGCGGGUCUCUGGGCAGUAACUGACGCUGAGGAGCGAAAGCGUGGGGAGCGAACAGG
rnacentral:rRNA from 1 species